rnacentral:lncRNA from 1 species
UUUUUUUUUGUAUGAGCCGAACUAAAUGCCAAAGGUGUAAUUGCCGACAUUUUGAAGGAUGUUUGAAAAUAAUUCACCAAAAUACAGAGGGCGAGUGAAUUGGGAAUAUGCAGCCGCAGUUACAACUUCUUUGGUUCAUACAGAUGCCAUUACGAAACAUGUUUUUGAGAAAUAUGUACAACUUUGUGACGCACUUUCAGAUAGCAUUACUUUUUAAUACACCAGGACCCUUUCUUGUCCAUUGCGAGCUUUUACAUUGGAAAAAACAGACAAUCAUAUAUUUAUGUUAUCUCCGUACCUCCCUUUGCUGCCUCACCAUGGCCUCCUCUUUGCCCAAAUGUCACUGUAUUCACUUGCUCUCUGCUUCAUCACAUAUGUCAUGUGGAGGUAACUAUGCCCCUUCCUGCCGCCUCUUCUCCUACGCCGCCUUCUUCCUCUUGGAACUGCCACGAUGACAUUGCUUUGACGGAAGAUCACUAUCAAUGUGCCCUGAAAUGGUGUAUGAGCAGAACCACAAUAUGCUUUUGUUCUUCUCCAUUAUCCCAAUAAACACUUUCCCUUUUUUGGAAAAACAAUGAUAAAAAAUGAAGUACCAAGUGGUAACCAUCUCUCUUGUACCAUCUGAAUCAACCGCCGGGAAGCUCUGGCUUAUAUAGCCGUAGAGAGAGAUGUAUCAUGCAUAUAUUAAGCUCCUUCACGGUUUUAUUGUUAACCAACCAAGACAUUGCAUCCCUGUGUUCUAUUUGUGCAGCAUGCAGUCUGUAUGAAGAUCUAAGCACGAACCAUGUGAUGACAGACUGACAGAACGCAUAACUCACUGUCCCUGGGAGCAUAUAACAAAAUGUCAAGCUUUAUCUCCAUCUCUCAAUCUCCCAGUGUUCGGGAAAUAAGAAAAAUUGAGCAACUUUACGCGUGUCUCCUCUGACACGUAGUAACAAACAAGCAACGAUAUGGGAUAUACUAUGUCAUUAAUAAUGGUGGGCGUGGAAAAACUGAGUUUCAAAGGCCCGACGACAGUCUCAGGAAUAUGACCCUCCAGCUGCACAAUCAAACAAAAUGGGACAACAGAUCGUUUUUAGGCGUCCAGAAUUUUUCAGAACUGACAUAGCACAACAAAACCAACAUGGCAUUUCCGAAAACAGGAUGUUAUGCUUUGAUCAUACAACUAUCCUUCAACAAAACCAACAUGACAUUCUUCUAUAAUAUACACAUUCCAGUUUGAUAUUCUUCCAAUCCAAUUGCAGGACGAGCAGAUGAAAUACAAGUUACUACGUUAGACAUCUCACAUCUGGUACAGGCACCAGAGACAUUUCUCUUUCAUUACCGUAACCUUGUUCUAGGAAUUCCAAAAUCUCAUUACAGCAAUGGUAGGAAGCUCUCAGCAGUUGUUAGCACACCACUCUCCACUAGGCACUACUCACAAACUUUGAUUAGCCAAGAAUAUACAGGGGACGACACUAAUUCACAAAGAAAACCGACCCAAACCACCAAUCUUGCAUACAUACAGAAAAGCCCACACCCAAGCCAAACACGUGUUCGGUUAGGGCUCAGGAGCCAUUAUAUUUGGCCUCCAAAUCCUCAUGGUCAUCAUCCCCACGAGACUUCUUCAAUUUUGCCACUAGAACCCACAUGUUUGCAAGCUCACUCUCCAAGAAGGCCUCCUUUUGCUUUGAUUCCUCGACUUUCCUUUGGAGUUCUGCUUCCUUUUGUUCCUUCUCCGUAAUAAUGGUUUCUAACGCUCUCUCCCUCUCUUCUCUCGCAUUGCCAUCUCUUCUGCUAGCUGGUUCAUUUCGUCUACUCAUGCUCUCUCGCCUAGCAGUACCUCUUGGUCCAUUGCUUACUCUGCGAGGGGUUGGACUUCUCUGCGAUGCUAACUCGGAAGCAAGCUUCUCAUUUUGGUUCAUGAGUUUGGUCACUUCUUCUGACAA